ensembl:rRNA 5S_rRNA 5S ribosomal RNA
AUCUAUGGCCAUACCAUCCUGAACGUGCCUAAUCUCCUCUGAUCUUGGAAGCUAAGCAGGGUCAGGCCUGGUUAGCACUUGGAUGGGAAAGUAUGAUAUGAGAAAUUAAGAGAGGCCUUUGAAG